UACGAAGGGGGCUAGCGUUGUCCGGAAUCAUUGGGCGUAAAGGGCGCGUAGGUGGCCACUUCAAGCGUGCCGGUGAAAGUCGGGGGGCUCAACCCCUGAUCGGCCGUGCGAACUGGGGACUUGAGUGCAGAAGAGGAAAGCGGAAUUCCGACGUGUAGCGGUGAAAUGCGUAGAGAUGAUGGAGGAACACCAGUGGCGAAGGCGGCUUCUGGUCGUGUAACUGACGCUGAGCGCGAAAGCGUGGGGAGCAAACAGG
rnacentral:rRNA from 1 species